CCACACCAUGAGGAACUGUACUAAAGGGUCGCAGCAUUAAGAAGGUUGAGAGCCACUGCAUUAAGAGGACAGACACAUAAUGGGGAGAGUAAAUGCUGACAGUGACUCAGAGCCAUGAUGUCAAUGAUUCUACCUCACCAAGCCCUCCCACCACCAUGGACCGACACCUCUAGAGCUACAAAUCAGAAUAAACCUUUCCUGCUCUAAGUUGUUCCGUCAGGCACUUCAGGAACAACGCUGAGGACCAGAGCAUAAACGAUAAAGGAAUUCCGGAGUGAGCAGAAUGUUGCAGAAUGGCAUCUUACUUAGCUCUCCGUUCACUGG